rnacentral:rRNA from 1 species
AGUGGCGAACGGGUGAGUAAAGUAUCGGAACGUGCCCAGUCGUGGGGGAUAACGUAGCGAAAGUUACGCUAAUACCGCAUACGAUCUAUGGAUGAAAGCGGGGGAUCGCAAGACCUCGCGCGAUUGGAGCGGCCGAUAUCAGAUUAGGUAGUUGGUGGGGUAAAGGCUCACCAAGCCGACGAUCUGUAGCUGGUCUGAGAGGACGACCAGCCACACUGGGACUGAGACACGGCCCAGACUCCUACGGGAGGCAGCAGUGGGGAAUUUUGGACAAUGGGCGCAAGCCUGAUCCAGCCAUGCCGCGUGCGGGAUGAAGGCCUUCGGGUUGUAAACUGCUUUUGUACGGAACGAAAAGGUUUGGCCUAAUAAGCUGAGCUCAUGACGGUACCGUAAGAAUAAGCACCGGCUAACUACGUGCCAGCAGCCGCGGUAAUACGUAGGGUGCGAGCGUUAAUCGGAAUUACUGGGCGUAAAGCGUGCGCAGGCGGUUAUGUAAGACAGAUGUGAAAUCCCCGGGCUCAACCUGGGAACUGCAUUAGUGACUGCAUAGCUGGAGUACGGAGAAAGGGGGAUGGAAUUCCGCGUGUAGCAGUGAAAUGCGUAGAUAUGCGGAGGAACACCGAUGGCGAACGCAAUCCCCUGGGCCUGUACUGACGCUCAUGCACGAAAGCGUGGG